CUACCAGCAGAGAAGGUUUGAGGUUGGUUUGUUAUGAUUCUCCAAAAUUGGGCAGGAUUCCAGAUGCCCUUAUUGGCUACCUCUACUCCAGUAUGUGGUACUCUAAAGAACCCAUCAAUUGCAAAACCAAAAAUGCUAUGAAAUUGGUCCAAUGACAGCUCUCUAUUUUGCCCCAAGCAUCUAAAUUUCAUAAUUGGCUUAUGGUCUACAUCAUGCAAUUUGAGGGUAGCAGAGAAUGAAGAAAUAAACUCCAAAACUAGAAUUGGAUAAACUACCUCUUGCUUAUGCACAAAUUCUGUCCAACCCAUACCGUCAAGAAAUGCAACUACAUUAUCAAAUAAACCCAGAGAUUGUAGAGCAUCAGCAGAUAUAUACCUAGUAGGUUGUACCCUUCUAUCUUUGAGUCUUUUGAAAGCAGCUUUUUGAAUUGUAUCAGGGAGAGGCCAGGGUAGCUUUGAUACAAAUGGGGUUGCUGAAACUGUCCUUUUGCUGGAAGAAGGUGUAGAGGCUGGAGCUUUUGGCUUUUUAGGAGGUGGCUCCGAAAAUGGGGUGGGUGGGUCUUUGCGUUUGGACAGAGGAGGAGCAGAGGACAUGGGUCGCACGGAUUUGGAUCGGAUUUUGCGUUUGUAUGUGGUUGAUGGAGGUGGUGGUGGUGUCGUUUGUGGUGGAGGAUUGGAAGUGGGGU
rnacentral:misc_RNA from 1 species